CCGCCCGGCGCAGAAGGAGCAAGGACGCAAGCGCCGCUGGGCGUGGGAAAAAUGAAGCCGGUUGGGAGGAGAGAGACGUGGAGGUCUCCAGGAAUUCUUCAAUGACUCUAAUUCAAAUGGACAAUACCAGGAAUCUACUGUUGGGAGACUCCCUCCAAGCCGUUCUGGAGAAAUGUGUAAACCAGUUUUCAGGAGCUCUGCUGGAAAACUCAGAUCUUGGUGAAGGAACUCUUGAACAAAGGAACCUUGAAAUGGAAAAAAGAAUGCCUGCGAACUGAGGAGAUACACAUUGAUUGGAGGGCCAGAGCAGCAGAGGGGCAGAAGCUGUAGGGGUAAAUCCUGUCUCAUUCAACCCCAGUGCUGGGGCCCCCUGGGUAAUGUGGAGCCUACUUAAACUGGCACGGAAAGGCUAAGUUGAGGCUACCACUAGGGUCUGGACAACAGCUCAGGUAACUCAAGUAACACCAUUGUGACAUCAGAGAUAACUGAACCAGUCACCUCUACAGCUUCAAGCCAUUGGAUCUUGUUGUGCCUCUGCUUUCUAGAUGAAAGAGCUCUUUAUCAUCAGAAAUCUUCUCCUCAAGUAGGUACUUGCAUGGUGAUCAAGUUACUUCUCAACCUUUUGUUUAUUAAGCUAAGUAGAUUGUGCUUCUUUAGUCUCUCACUGUAAGGCAAGUUUUCCAGUGCUCAACUCAUUCUUUUUUGAACUCUUCCAGUUUAUUGAUGUAAACCAGAGGGGUCUGAAUGAGUUUCCCCCUGCCAUCUAUUGAUGAACUGGGGAAAAAGACUUCAGGAGCAAACCAUAUUUACACAGACACACCUACAUUGCCUAAGAGAUCAGCAAACAGACCUGGUUGGCCAAAGUGAUUAAUUGUGGCUGUUUUGGGCAAAGGGGUGAUGAAAUGUGGUUAUCCUUAUUGUAGGACUAAAAGGCAGCAGAAUUGUACUUACUAUGCUUACUUGGUAACUGAUGCCAACUCCAAGUGAAAGUCAAAGUCCGGGGUCGGGGACACACAGGUGUUCCUACUUGCUGGGGCAGACUCUAUUUAAAAGAUCUUAGAUACCAUUUGAUUCUUCUCUUCCAAUGUCUAAACACAGAUCGAGUUAGACUCAGUUAGAAGUCUGUGUUUCUUCUCAGUGAUCACUAGAGCUGAAAAGGUAAUAAACUGGUUUAGGGGCCUUAGACUUAGACCGGGUACAAGGACAGUGUUGCAAUGAAAGACAGCACAAAAGAGACAGCAACAGUGAGAUUCCCCACUACGCAGUGAAACCACUAAUAGCUGAAAUCACUAAGGACUAGGCUAGGUGGUGGAACCUCAGAGUAUGCAGUUAACAGCUGCUUCUGGAGAGGCAGUGUUGUCACUGACAUCUCACACCUCUUCAGGGCUGGGGGUGAACCCAACUGAACUUUGCUGACCUCAGACAACAAAUUGAGUGUGCUGCAGUGGAGAGAAAAGGAGAGUGACAUGUUAAAGGGACAUUAAUAAAUCAUAAGUGAUCAUCAAUGAUCUGGAAAAAGGGAUAAACAGUGAGCUGGCAAAGUUUGCAGUUGAUACAAAAUUGCUCAAGAUAGUUAAACCCAAAGCUGACUGUGAAGAGUUACAAAGGGUUCUCACAAAAUUCAGUGACUGGAGAACAAAAUGGCAGAUGAAAUCCAAUGUUGAUAAUUGCAAAGUAAUCCACAUUAGAAAACAUCAUCCUGACUACAUAUAGAAAAUGACAGGAUCUACACACAACAAAGAGAUCUUGGACUCAUUAUGAAUAGGUCU